rnacentral:rRNA from 1 species
GACGAACGCUGGCGGCGUGCUUAACACAUGCAAGUCGAACGGAAAGGCCCUGCUUGCAGGGUGCUCGAGUGGCGAACGGGUGAGUAACACGUGGGUGAUCCGCCCCUUAUUUUGGGAUAAGCCUGGGAAACUGGGUCUAAUACUGGAUAGGACCAUGCUGUAGGUGGUGUGGUGGAAAGAUUAGUUUCGGUAAGGGAUGAGCUCGCGGCCUAUCAGCUUGUUGGUGGGGUAAUGGCCUACCAAGGCGUCGACGGGUAGCCGGCCUGAGAGGGUGGACGGCCACAUUGGGACUGAGAUACGGCCCAGACUCCUACGGGAGGCAGCAGUGGGGAAUAUUGCACAAUGGGCGCAAGCCUGAUGCAGCGACGCCGCGUGGGGGAUGACGGCCUUCGGGUUGUAAACUCCUUUCAGCCAUGACGAAGCCCUUGUGGUGACGGUAGUGGUAGAAGAAGCACCGGCUAACUACGUG